rnacentral:rRNA from 1 species
AGGACUAACGCUGGCGGCGUGCCUAACACAUGCAAGUCGAACGAACGUAGCAAUACGUUAGUGGCAGACGGGUGAGUAACGCGUAGUCAACCUACCUCUUAGUGGGGGAUAACUAGCCGAAAGGUUAGCUAAUACCGCAUACGAUCGUCGAGAGGCAUCUUUCAACGAUGAAAGGAGCAAUUCGCUAAGAGACGGGACUGCGUCCCAUUAGUUAGUUGGUGGGGUAAUGGCCUACCAAGACUCCUAUGGGUAGCUGGCUUGAGAGAGCGACCAGCCACACUGGAACUGAGACACGGUCCAGACUCCUACGGGAGGCAGCAGUGAGGAAUUUUCCGCAAUGGGGGAAACCCUGACGGAGCGACGCCGCGUGUGGGAAGAAGGCCUUCGGGUCGUAAACCACUGUCGAAGGGGACGAGUAUUGGACGGUACCCUUGGAGGAAGCCCCGGCUAACGUACGCGCCAGCAGCCGC